AUGACUACUCAAGGUACACGUGGGUGUUUCUUCAAGAGGAAGAGCGAGACCCAACAAACUGUCAUUGACUUUGCAAAUGAAGCACAACGUCAACACAAUGCAAAGAUCUUGACAAUAAGAAGUGAGAACGGCACCGAGUUCAAGAACUACACCUUGGAUGAAUUUCUUAGUGAUGAGGGAAUUGAGCAUCAAUAUUCCGCACCAUACACCCCUCAACAAGACGGUGUUGCGGAGAGGAAGAACCGGACGUUGAUGGAUGCGGCAAGGACCAUGAUGGUGGAGUUCAAAUCUCCGUACAACUUUUGGGCCGAAGCCAUCAACACCGCGUGUCAUCCACCCACAAGCUUGAGACUCCUGUCGAUUUCCGUCCUCACCGCAAUGCUACAUCCACCCACAAGCAAGCCCUUUGGCCCUACUGCACUGUGA
rnacentral:rRNA from 1 species